GAGUUUGAUCGUGGCUCAGAUUGAACGCUGGCGGCAUGCCUUACACAUGCAAGUCGAACGGCAGCAUGAUCUAGCUUGCUAGAUUGAUGGCGAGUGGCGAACGGGUGAGUAAUACAUCGGAACGUGCCCUGUAGUGGGGGAUAACUAGUCGAAAGAUUAGCUAAUACCGCAUACGACCUGAGGGUGAAAGUGGGGGACCGCAAGGCCUCAUGCUAUAGGAGCGGCCGAUGUCUGAUUAGCUAGUUGGUGGGGUAAAGGCCCACCAAGGCGACGAUCAGUAGCUGGUCUGAGAGGACGAUCAGCCACACUGGGACUGAGACACGGCCCAGACUCCUACGGGAGGCAGCAGUGGGGAAUUUUGGACAAUGGGCGAAAGCCUGAUCCAGCAAUGCCGCGUGUGUGAAGAAGG
rnacentral:rRNA from 1 species